rnacentral:rRNA from 1 species
UUUAUGGAGAGUUUGAUCCUGGCUCAGGAUGAACGCUGGCGGCGUGCCUAAUACAUGCAAGUCGAGCGAACAGAUAAGGAGCUUACUCCUUUGACGUUAGCGGCGGACGGGUGAGUAACACGUGGGUAACCUACCUAUAAGACUGGAAUAACUCCGGGAAACCGGGGCUAAUGCCGGAUAACAUGUUGAACCGCAUGGUUCUACAGUGAAAGACGGUCUUGCUGUCACUUAUAGAUGGACCCGCGCCGUAUUAGCUAGUUGGUGGGGUAACGGCCUACCAAGGCGACGAUACGUAGCCGACCUGAGAGGGUGAUCGGCCACACUGGAACUGAGACACGGUCCAGACUCCUACGGGAGGCAGCAGUAGGGAAUCUUCCGCAAUGGGCGAAAGCCUGACGGAGCAACGCCGCGUGAGUGAUGAAGGUCUUCGGAUCGUAAAGCUCUGUUGUUAGGGAAGAACAAAUGUGUAAGUAACUGUGCACAUCUU